rnacentral:rRNA from 1 species
GACGAACGCUGGCGGCGUGCUUAACACAUGCAAGUCGAACGGAAAGGCCCAGCUUGCUGGGUGCUCGAGUGGCGAACGGGUGAGUAACACGUGGGUGAUCUGCCCCUAACUUCGGGAUAAGCUUGGGAAACUGGGUCUAAUACCGGAUAGGACAAUCGUUUAGUGUCGGUUGUGGAAAGUUUUUUCGGUUAGGGAUGAGCCCGCGGCCUAUCAGCUUGUUGGUGGGGUAAUGGCCUACCAAGGCGUCGACGGGUAGCCGGCCUGAGAGGGUGGACGGCCACAUUGGGACUGAGAUACGGCCCAGACUCCUACGGGAGGCAGCAGUGGGGAAUAUUGCACAAUGGGCGCAAGCCUGAUGCAGCGACGCCGCGUGGGGGAUGACGGCCUUCGGGUUGUAAACCUCUUUCGACAGGGAGGAAGCUUUGGUGACGGUACCUGUAUAAGAAGCACCGGCUAACUACGUG